GGGCGGUUAGUUCAGCUGGUUAGAAUACUUGGUCGACAUCCAAGGGGUCGGGGUUUCGCUGGUUAGAAUACUUGGUCGACAUCCAAGGGGUCGGGGAUUCGAAUUCCUCACCGCCCACCA
rnacentral:tRNA from 1 species